GGCCAGACUCCUACGGGAGGCAGCAGUGGGGAAUAUUGCACAAUGGGGGAAACCCUGAUGCAGCAACGCCGCGUGGGUGAAGGAGCGUUUCGGCGCGUAAAGCCCUGUCAGCGGGGAAGAAGAAAGACGGUACCCGACCAAGAAGCCCCGGCUAACUACGUGCCAGCAGCCGCGGUAAUACGUAGGGGGCGAACGUUAUCCGGAAUUACUGGGUGUAAAGGGAGCGUAGACGGCGAGGUAAGCCUGAAGUGGAAGCCCGCGGCUCAACCGCGGAAUGGCUUUGGAAACUUUUUUGCUGGAGUACCGGAGAGGUAAGCGGAAUUCCUAGUGUAGCGGUGAAAUGCGUAGAUAUUAGGAGGAACACCAGUGGCGAAGGCGGCUUACUGGACGGUAACUGACGUUGAGGCUCGAAAGCGUGGGGAGCAAACAGGAUUAGAUACCCCGGUA
rnacentral:rRNA from 1 species